UUGAAACACCGGUUCUCGUACGAUCACAGAAGCAAGGAAACGUCGCGCCUGAUUAGUAACUAAAUGGUUGACCAUUUGGGAAUACCAGGAGCUGUAAG